rnacentral:rRNA from 1 species
UGUGGUUAGCGGUGAAAUGCCAAUCGAACUCGGAGAUAGCUGGUUCUCCUCGAAACAGUUUUAGGACUGGCGUCAUGUGGUAGCAGUCGGGGGUAGAGCUCUGUAAAGGACUGGGGGGAGCAAUCCUACCCACCCUUAACAAACUACGAAUACCGGCUGUGGAAUCAUGGCAGUUAGAACGGCGGAGCUAAGUUCGUCGCUCAAAAGGGAAACAGCCCAGACCAUCGUCUAAGGUCCCUAAAUUUACGUUAAGUGGGAAACAAGGUGAGAUUUCUUAAACAGCUAGGAUGUUGGCUUAGAAGCAGCCAUUCAUUUAAAGAGUGCGUAACAGCUCACUAGUCAAGAGAUUUUGCGUGGAAAAUGUAACGGGGCUAAAGUGUUAAACCGAAGACAUGGACUUCUGCCUAUGCAGGAGUGGUAGAGGAGCGUUGAUAUCGCAGUGAAGUCAGAUUGGAAAGUCUGGUGGAGCGUUAUCAAGUGAGAAUGCUGGAAUCAGUAACCUUAAGACAGGUGAGAAUCCUGUCGGUCGUAAGAGCAAGGUUUCCAGGGCUACAGUAAUUGUCCCUGGGUUAGUCGGUCCUAAGCCGAGGCGUAUCAGCGUAGGCGAUGGACAACAGGUUAAUAUUCCUGUACAGGUAGUAGUUGUGAACAGUUCACGGUGAAUGACCGGAGCGGAUUAAUGGUUUAUCCGUCCAAGUCUUUAGGGAACUAAAGAUGAGUGAAAGGUAAUCUUCGGAUUAUUGAUUCUGGGUGAAGCACUGGCUAGAAAAGCUGGUUCACUUAUGCUGCUGCCUACCGUACCGCAAACCAACACCGGUGCUCGGGUCGAGUAGACCAAGACCUACGUGAGAACCUUCGCUAAGGAACUCGGCAAAACAGCGUCCGUAACUUCGGAAUAAGGACUGCCCUCUCAUUAAGAUGAGGAUUUGCUAGAAACUCAGCAGAAGAUUCAGAUUACCUUUUAACUGAAUUUUUCGUUGAGACAGAACACAAAACAGGAUUUGUUUAACAAAUUCGUGUCUUUUCUAGUAGUCUAAUCGUCAUUUUGAUGAGAGGGCCGCAGCUAAAGAGCCCACGGAACUGUUUACCAAAAACAUAGGUCUCUGCUAACGCGAAAGCGGAUGUAUAGGGGCUGACUCCUGCCCGGUGCCGGAAGGUUAAGGGGAGAGCUUUACGGUUCGAACUGAAGCCCCGAUGAACGGCGGCGAUAACUAUGAUCGUCCUAAGGUAGCGAAAUUCCUUGUCUGGUAAGUUCAGACCCGCACGAAUGGAGUAAUCAUGUGGGCACUGUCUCGGCGAAGGCCUCGGUGAACGUGCAUUGGCGGUAAAGAUGCCGUCUGAUCAUGCCAGGACGAGAAGACCCCAUGGAGCUUUACUACAACUUUGCAUUGAUUAUUGGGACAUUUUGUGUAGAAUAGGUGGAAGACUUUGAAGCAGAUACGCUAGUAUUUGUGGAGUCGAAAUAUGAAAUACCACCCUGAAUGUUUUAGUAAUCUCACUUUUGACCUGAUCGGCCAAAAGGACCGUGCAU